rnacentral:rRNA from 1 species
UAACGGCGAGUGAAGCGGCAACAGCUCAAAUUUGAAAUCUGGCCCCAGGCCCGAGUUGUAAUUUGCAGAGGAUGCUUUUGGCGCGGUGCCUUCCGAGUUCCCUGGAACGGGACGCCAUAGAGGGUGAGAGCCCCGUACGGUUGGACACCAAGCCUUUGUAAAGCUCCUUCGACGAGUCGAGUAGUUUGGGAAUGCUGCUCUAAAUGGGAGGUACAUUUCUUCUAAAGCUAAAUAUUGGCCAGAGACCGAUAGCGCACAAGUAGAGUGAUCGAAAGAUGAAAAGCACUUUGAAAAGAGGGUUAAACAGCACGUGAAAUUGUUAAAAGGGAAGCGCUUGUGACCAGACUUGCGUCCGGUGAAUCACCCAGCUCUCGCGGCUGGGGCACUUCGCCGGCACAGGCCAGCAUCAGCUUGCCGUCGGGGACAAAAGCUUCAGGAACGUGGCUCCUCUCGGGGAGUGUUAUAGCCUGUUGCAUAAUACCCUUCGGCGGGCUGAGGUACGCGCUCCGCAAGGAUGCUGGCGUAAUGGUCAUCAGCGACCCGUCUUGAAACACGGACCAAGGAGUCAACCUUAUGUGCGAGUGUUUGGGUGUUAAACCCCUACGCGUAAUGAAAGUGAACGCAGGUGAGAGCUUCGGCGCAUCAUCGACCGAUCCUGAUGUUCUCGGAUGGAUUUGAGUAAGAGCAUAUAGGGUUGGACCCGAAAGAAGGUGAACUAUGCGUGUGUAGGGUGAAGCCAGAGGAAACUCUGGUGGAGGCUCGCAGCGGUUCUGACGUGCAAAUCGAUCGUCAAACAUGCGCA